GGUGUGUAUGAAAACGAAUGAGGAAGAUGUGAUCAAACUUAUCAACGAAGGUACUCCUGUACUCGCUGUGGUAGAUGCUUACAAAAGCUUCGAGGCUUAUAAAGAUGGAAUCUAUGAAGGUCAAACGGAUCGCAAAGAUAAAUUUAUUGGUCGCCAUGUGGUUUUAGUGACUGGUUUCGACUCAACUGCAGACGGUGUCCACUACUGGAUAAUCCAGAACUCUUGGGGAACUUUAUGGGGACAAAACGGGUUUGGACAUAUUAUAAGAAAGUGUAGCCGAGUUGGGAACAAACCGUCAAUGUUUCUCGAAAUAAUUAAGUUGGUGGUUUGAAGAAAAGCUUGAUAUGGAGAUUACAGGCUAAGGCUCAAGUCAAUAAUAUUGCGGCCAUAACAAAAAGUGGAGAAGGGUGUUUGGGACUCGGAUAUUGUUGCUGUUGCAAACUGCAAGAUGGUAUUAGUGGCGAGUUUUACGGAUAGACAAAGCAAAUUUUAGUUGAUAGUAGUACGUAUAAAUAAAAGAGAAACAAAAUAUCAAUACUUAUAUGUAGUAAACGUUUCCGAUGGUACCUUGAUAGUACGUAUAAAUAAUUUAGUUAAUAUCUCUUCAUGAUUUAAAGUGCUUGGCUUUUUUUUUUAUUUCAGACUCU